CGGACAAUAUACAAGGUGCUGCAUGGUUGUCGUCAGCUCGUGCCGUGAGGUGUCGGGUUAAGUCCCAUAACGAGCGCCAACCCCUAUCAUUAGUUGCCAUCAGGUCAAGCGUGGGGACUCUAAUGAAACUGCCUACGCAAGUAGUGAGGAAGGUGGGGAUGACGUCAAAUCAGCACGGCCCUUACGUCCAGGGCUACACACGUGCUACAAUGGCCGGUACAAAGGGCAGCGACACUGCGAGGUGAAGCCAAUCCCGUAAAAUCGGUCUCAGUCCGGAUUGGAGUCUGCAACUCGACUCCAUGAAGUUGGAAUCGCUAGUAAUCGUGGAUCAGCAUGCCACGGUGAAUACGUUCCCGGGCCUU
rnacentral:rRNA from 1 species